GAACGAUGAUGACUACUUAUCCCGAACCUGACAGUGUUCUGAUGAGAUAAAAUUAUGGAUCUGACUGCUGAGUU
ensembl:snoRNA small nucleolar RNA SNORD50